ACCUGAAAACGAGUGUUCCCUAUCAGAGCCGUGGAAGACCACCACGUCGAUAGGCCGGGUGUGGAAGCGAGGUAACUCGUGAAGCUUACCGGUACUAAUAGCUCGAUCGGCUUGAUCG
rnacentral:rRNA from 1 species